CGCGUAGGUGGUUUGUUAAGCGAGAUGUGAAAGCCCCGGGCUUAACCUGGGAACGGCAUUUCGAACUGGCAGGCUAGAGUGUGGUAGAGGGUAGUGGAAUUUCCUGUGUAGCGGUGAAAUGCGUAGAUAUAGGAAGGAACACCAGUGGCGAAGGCGGCUACCUGGACCAACACUGACACUGAGGUGCGAAAGCAUGGGGAGCAAACA
rnacentral:rRNA from 1 species